rnacentral:rRNA from 1 species
UACAGAGGGUGCAAGCGUUGUUCGGAAUUAUUGGGCGUAAAACGCGUGUAGGCGGCUUUGCAAGUCGGGUGUGAAAGCCCUCGGCUCAACCGAGGAAGUGCGCCCGAAACUGCAGAGCUUGAGUACCGGAGAGGAUGGCGGAAUUCCCCAAGUAGAGGUGAAAUUCGUAGAUAUGGGGAGGAACACCGGUGGCGAAGGCGGCCAUCUGGACGGAUACUGACGCUGAGACGCGAAAGCGUGGGGAGCAAACAGG